CCUACGGGUGGCAGCAGUGAGGAAUAUUGGUCAAUGGCCGUAAGGCUGAACCAGCCAAGUCGCGUGAAGGAAGAAGGAUCUAUGGUUUGUAAACUUCUUUUAUAGGGGACUAAAGGUAUCCACGUGUGGAUAUUUGACUGUACCCUAUGAAUAAGCAUCGGAUAACUCCGUGCCAGCAGCCGCGGUAAUACGGAGGAUGCGAGCGUUAUCCGGAUUUAUUGUGUUUAAAGGGUGCGUAGGUUGUUUUUUAAGUCAGCGGUGAAAGUUUGUGUCUCAACCAUAAAAUUGCCGUUGAAACUGGAAGACGUGAGUGUGUUUGAGGUAGGCGGAAUGCGGGGUGUAGCGGUGAAAUGCAUAGAUAUCACGCAGAACUCCGAUUGCGAAGGCAGCUUACUAAGCCAUAACUGACACUGAAGCACGAAAGCGUGGGGAUCAAACAGGAUUAGAUACCCUUGUAGUC
rnacentral:rRNA from 1 species